rnacentral:rRNA from 1 species
UACGUAGGGGGCUAGCGUUGUCCGGAAUCAUUGGCGUAAAGAGCGUGUAGGCGGCUCGGUAAGUCCGCUGUGAAAGUCCAGGGCUCAACCCUGGAAUGCCGGUGGAAACUGUCGAGCUAGAGUCCGGAAGAGGCGAGUGGAAUUCCUGGUGUAGCGGUGAAAUGCGCAGAUAUCAGGAGGAACACCAAGUGGCGAAGGCAGCUCGCU